rnacentral:rRNA from 1 species
GCAGUGGGGAAUAUUGCACAAUGGGCGCAAGCCUGAUGCAGCCAUGCCGCGUGUAUGAAGAAGGCCUUCGGGUUGUAAAGUACUUUCAGCGGGGAAGAAGGCGUUGAGGUUAAUAACCUCAGCGAUUGACGUUACCCGCAGAAGAAGCACCGGCUAACUCCGUGCCAGCAGCCGCGGUAAUACGGAGGGUGCAAGCGUUAAUCGGAAUUACUGG